CUCCCCGCCUUGGAAAUGAGAAAAUAUAUCUUUUUCUUUCUUUCCUUUCUCAACUCCUGGUGCUGCUACUCUUCAUCUAUAUACUAACAUUUCUGGGUUUGGGGAAUUUUCCGCAAUGGGCGAAAGCCAGUGCAUCUUCUCUCAAGCAAAGCAGAUAUAAGGAAACUUUCUAGAAGACCCGAAUAUUACUGAAAUCUACUUGUAAUUAAAGUUUCUUGACAUGGACUUCAGCCAUUAUCUAAUCGGCAGGCUGCACGUGAAGGAUGCACGUAGCCUUCCUUCUGCUAGUUACCAUCUACAGCACUUCAAUUUGAGAACAUGAGGAAAGUAGCAAGUGCUUAAGGCACUUCAAUUAUUGUGGCCACAGAAGAUUUCCAAGAGUCCUGGGGCAUUAUCCAUCAACUAUAUUAUCACUUUCACUCCCUCUUACAUUUUUCAUGCAUUUGUGUCUUUGGAAUAUAACCAGAAGCUUCAUCAGUAGCACCGCAUGAGCAUAUUCCGUUCCUGAAGUGAUGAAAUCGCUUCACAUCUCUUAUGACAAUUUCUCUCCUCAUUAUUAAGGAAUUGAAUUUUUUCGCUUCAUGGCAGUCCUCACAUACUCUGAGGUUCUUUUUUAUCAGCAAUCUGGUUCCUGGCCUGUUGUUCAACAGCCCGAAGGCAAUAGCUAAGUCAUUCACCGUGAU
rnacentral:lncRNA from 1 species